rnacentral:snRNA from 1 species
GUGCUCGCUUCGGCAGCACAUAUACUGAAAUUGGAGCGAUACAGAGAAGAUUAGCAUGGUCCCUG